CUAGAACAAGGAGAGAGAGGCGUCAGGAGGACUCCAGGAUUUUGAAGAACAGUCUUGACAGCAGGUGCCGCUACCACAGGCUGACCCGGUGCGCCCACCCCGUCCAAAGUCAGAGCCAGGGGGAGGAACUGACCUUUGCUCUAGGAUAUUUGUCAGCUUCUCCCUGUGAAUAAACACCGACACCUGAAUAAACACCAACACCGUCCGGCGUCCUGGCGAAACUCAUCCUGCCCAGUGCCCGGAGGCCUUCUGCACAAUCUGUCAAGAUUAAUUUGACACCAAACUGGCUAUCUCCGGAAAGGCAGGGAAAGCUCUAGGCACAAGAACGAGAUUCGCGUGGGGAGAAUUACCGUGGCCCCACUAUUAAGGCGCUUAGUCCUCUGUGUCCUGUAACAACCCGUGAGGAAAGAAGCUACGUCUUGGGGUGCAG